UUGCCGUCAGUAUUGAUUCUGCCAGUAGCUACUGCUAGUGUUGGAAGGGUAUUCUCUUCAAUGAGCCAUGUGAAGAAUAAGUUAAGGAACAAAAUGGGUGAUGAAUAUUUGAACAAUUGUUUGGUUACAUUUGUUGAGAGAGAAUUUUUCAAUCAAGUGAAGGAUGAAGAUGUUAUCAAUCUCUUCGAAAAAGGGCGACCACAGAGUUAUAAUGUAAGAAGGAUAUCAUCACUUCAUCAAUCAAAAGGUACUUAUGUAUUCAUGUCCUUAUGGUCUGAUACAUUGAAAUAUUGA
rnacentral:rRNA from 1 species